GGUGCGUAACGCGUGGGAAUCUGCCCUUGGGUUCGGAAUAACAGUUGGAAACGACUGCUAAUACCGGAUGAUGUCUUCGGACCAAAGAUUUAUCGCCCAGGGAUGAGCCCGCGUAAGAUUAGCUAGUUGGUGGGGUAAAGGCCUACCAAGGCGACGAUCUUUAGCUGGUCUGAGAGGAUGAUCAGCCACACUGGGACUGAGACACGGCCCAGACUCCUACGGGAGGCAGCAGUGGGGAAUAUUGGACAAUGGGCGAAAGCCUGAUCCAGCAAUGCCGCGUGAGUGAUGAAGGCCUUAGGGUUGUAAAGCUCUUUUACCCGGGAUGAUAAUGACAGUACCGGGAGAAUAAGCCCCGGCUAACUCCGUGCCAGCAGCCGCGGUAAUACGGAGGGGGCUAGCGUUGUUCGGAAUUACUGGGCGUAAAGCGCGCGUAGGCGGUUCUUCAAGUCAGAGGUGAAAGCCCGGUGCUCAACACCGGAAUUGCCUUUGAAACUAGGGAACUUGAAUCCAGGAGAGGUGAGUGGAAUUCCGAGUGUAGAGGUGAAAUUCGUAGAUAUUCGGAAGAACACCAGUGG
rnacentral:rRNA from 1 species